GAUUCCCCCAGUAGCGGCGAGCGAACGGGGAGCAGCCCAGAGUCUGAAUCAGCUUGUGUGUUAGUGGAACGGUCUGGAAAGUCCGACGGUACAGGGUGAUAGUCCCGUACACCAAAAUGCACAGGUUGUGAACUCGAAGAGUAGGGCGGGACACGUGGUAUCCUGUCUGAAUAUGGGGGGACCAUCCUCCAAGGCUAAAUACUCCUGACUGACCGAUAGUGAACCAGUACCGUGAGGGAAAGGCGAAAAGAAC
rnacentral:rRNA from 1 species